rnacentral:rRNA from 1 species
GACGGGUGAGUAACGCGUAGGGAUCUAUCCAUGGGUGGGGGACAACUCCGGGAAACUGGAGCUAAUACCGCAUGAUACCUGAGGGUCAAAGGCGCAAGUCGCCUGUGGAGGAACCUGCGUUCGAUUAGCUAGUUGGUGGGGUAAAGGCCUACCAAGGCGAUGAUCGAUAGCUGGUUUGAGAGGAUGAUCAGCCACACUGGGACUGAGACACGGCCCAGACUCCUACGGGAGGCAGCAGUGGGGAAUAUUGGACAAUGGGCGAAAGCCUGAUCCAGCAAUGCCGCGUGUGUGAAGAAGGUCUUCGGAUUGUAAAGCACUUUCGACGGGGACGAUGAUGACGGUACCCGUAGAAGAAGCCCCGGCUAACUUCGUGCCAGCAGCCGCGGUAAUACGAAGGGGGCUAGCGUUGCUCGGAAUGACUGGGCGUAAAGGGCGCGUAGGCGGUUUAUGCAGUCAGAUGUGAAAUCCCCGGGCUUAACCUGGGAACUGCAUUUGAGACGCAUAGACUAGAGGUCGAGAGAGGGUUGUGGAAUUCCCAGU